rnacentral:rRNA from 1 species
AUGAAGAGCGCCAGCAACGGCGGCGCCAACGGGAAGCGGAAGCGGGAGGAGGAGGAGGGGGACUGCCGCUACAUCCGGCUGGAGCGCCGCGCGUCGCCGCGGUCGUUCGUGCGCAAGUUCCGGCUGCCGAAGGACGCAGACGCGGGCGCCGUGGCCGCGCGCUGCGAGAACGGCGUGCUCACCGUCACCGUCAAGAAGCAGCAGCCGCCCGAGAAGAAGACCAAGUCCGUCCAGGUCGCCAUCGCCUGA